rnacentral:misc_RNA from 1 species
GGUGGUGCUUUCUUAGAAAACAUACAAGUUUGGACAGCAUGAAGAGUGGUAAAGUAAACCCAAGAUAUGCAAUAGAAAUCGAUAUACAGAAGCUAAUUGAAGAUUUAGUUUGGAAAAAGUUUCUGAAAAGUCUUCAUUUUUCGUGUCUUAGAAGAUGUUUCUAUCGACGAAAUGCCUAUCAUAUUGAAAUUCGGUGGAGUUACUUUAGUUUCGAGGAUUUUCUUGAAUCUGAAGUGCCUCUGCGAAAAGAGCCAACAAAAUCCCUGACUCAAUACUCAACCACAUACACGUGCCAGAUAACCGGACCGCAGAAACAUAUAUUCAACGCACAGGGUUCGCAAAUGGAGUCUCGGUCGGUAAAAUUACAAAAGAAUUACAGUAUUGGAGGAAAAGUAUCGAUAAAAGCAGCAGGAUUAGAGUUCAAUGCCGGUGGGAAACGUGAUAAUAGCCAGGAAGAUAAGACAGAUACGACCACCUCAUGGUCGGAUACCGCCGAGUUUACUUUGAAUACAAACAACUCGGCUAAAGUGGUUAUUACGCAAGAAAAGGGAAUAUCAGAGAAGUACUUUGUAGUGAAAACUCUGUUACGAUUGAGACCGACACACCCUGGAUGGGGAGCUCCUGUGAUUGUUAGAAAGAAAUCUAACCAUCAGAAAGUGUUUGAAUAUGAAAUUAUUAGUUUCAGAGAGCUGUUUGAAGCGUAUAGUGAAUGUGCAGACUUGGUGGAGAUUCGACCGCAAGCUCACUUACAACAAUUCGAAGACGGCAACAGUCAAUAUUAUGAUGAGGUUUAUAUAUUUUCCAGGGGAAUAGAGACAAAUGAAGAGGAAAAAAGGAAUGUUAACAUAGCUGCGGAAAAUAAUUAAGUUCAUUGUUAUAUCCCCUAACAACUCUGUAACUCAUUCCUCUUUUCCUGCACUUAAUAUAACCUUAUAUACUGCAUCCGAUGCAAUCUACGCAUCCGUCUAUAUGUUGGUCAGACGGUCUGUCGGUUGGCCAACCGUUUCAGAGAACACCUAUGGAAUGUCCGCCUGCAGAGAAAUACUCCUGUUACCCGUCAUUUUUGCUCAGCAGGCCACUCCACCUCGCACUUCACUGUCUUCAGGCUUGCCCGAACACCAGGGCUUGCGAACCUGGGGCACACUUGAUAUUUUCUUGAAGUAUUGUGCUUAAUUUCAAAAUAAAAUUGUUUGUGUAAUACAUUUGUUUAAAAAUAUAUUUAGAAUUUAUAAGUGGCAAUAAACGAAUACCCUACAAUUUUAUAAUUUUAAACAAAAGAAAAGUACGGAAAAUUCUUGAUCUGUAAUUUGUUUAUUUGACAAUUAGUAUUUUGUCU